GAUGAAGAACGCAGUGAAAUGCGAUAAGUAAUGUGAAUUGCAGAAUUCAGUGAAUCAUCGAAUCUUUGAACGCACAUUGCGCCCGCCAGCACUCUGGCGGGCAUGCCUGUCCGAGCGUCAUUUCAACCCUCGCGCCGUCCCUCCAGGGGGCUCGGCGCGGUGUUGGGGGACACGGCCCCGGCCGCCCCCGAAAUGCAGUGGCGACCCCGCCGCGGCCCCUCCAGCGCAGUAAGCACGCUCGCUACGGGAGGCCCGGUGGACGCGUCCGCCGUAAAACGCCCAACUCUUCAGAAGUUGACCUCGGAUCAGGUAGGGAUACCCGCUGAACUUAAGCAUAUCAAUAAGCGGAGGA
rnacentral:misc_RNA from 1 species